UACAGAGGGGGCGAGCGUUGUCCGGAUUUACUGGGCGUAAAGAGCGCGCAGGCGGUCGUCCAAGUCGCGUGUGAAAGCCCCCGGCUCAACUGGGGAGGGUCACGCGAUACUGUUCGACUCGAAGGCAGGAGAGGGAUGUGGAAUUCCCGGUGUAGUGGUGAAAUGCGUAGAUAUCGGGAGGAACACCAGUGGCGAAGGCGACUUCCUGGCCUGUUCUUGACGCUGAGGCGCGAAAGCUAGGGUAGCAAACGGG
rnacentral:rRNA from 1 species